rnacentral:rRNA from 1 species
AUUGAACGCUGGCGGCAGGCCUAACACAUGCAAGUCGAGCGGAUGAAGGGAGCUUGCUCCUGGAUUCAGCGGCGGACGGGUGAGUAAUGCCUAGGAAUCUGCCUUGUAGUGGGGGAUAACGUCCGGAAACGGGCGCUAAUACCGCAUACGUCCUGAGGGAGAAAGUGGGGGAUCUUCGGACCUCACGCUAUCAGAUGAGCCUAGGUCGGAUUAGCUAGUUGGUGGGGUAGAGGCCUACCAAGGCGACGAUCCGUAACUGGUCUGAGAGGAUGAUCAGUCACACUGGAACUGAGACACGGUCCAGACUCCUACGGGAGGCAGCAGUGGGGAAUAUUGGACAAUGGGCGAAAGCCUGAUCCAGCCAUGCCGCGUGUGUGAAGAAGGUCUUCGGAUUGUAAAGCACUUUAAGUUGGGAGGAAGGGCAGUAAGUUAAUACAUUGCUGUUUUGACGUUACCAACAGAAUAAGCACCGGCUAACUUCGUG